GAUUGAGGUGAAUGAAUGUUUGAAAGUUUAAAUGUUUGAGCAUAUGUAGAUUGAAAGCCAAACUAGAUUGAAUGAAUGAAUAUUUGAAUUUGAGCAUGUGGAUGUGCAAAAGAAAAUUAGAGACUAAAUAAUUAAAAGUUUGGAGAUUUAAUGGUUGAAUGAAUAGUUUUGAGAUUUGGCAAACCAAUGAUUUUUGAAUUGGAGAAUGAUUUGGGAGAACUUUUUUUUUUUUGGAUAUUGAAUGUUUUUGUUAGUUUCAGUUGUGAUUGAAUGUUUGUUGUUUUCGGAUAUUCAGAGGAUCGAGAAAAUGACAGGCCGUAAACAAUGUGUAGGGAAAAAACACCAUAAGCGAAGAGGUUGUCCAAAGAAACAUUUCUCC
rnacentral:lncRNA from 1 species